rnacentral:rRNA from 1 species
UACGUAGGGGGCAAGCGUUGUCCGGAUUCAUUGGGCGUAAAGCGCGUGUAGGCGGCCAGGUAGGUCCGGUGUGAAAACUCGAGGCUCAACCUCGAGAGGUCAUCGGAAACCAUCUGGCUAGAGUCCGGAAGAGGAGAGUGGAAUUCCCGGUGUAGCGGUGAAAUGCGCAGAUAUCGGGAAGAACACCUAUGGCGAAGGCAGCUCUCUGGGACGGUACUGACGCUGAGACGCGAAAGCGUGGGUAGCAAACAGG